rnacentral:rRNA from 1 species
UACAGAGGGGGCAAGCGUUGUUCGGAAUUACUGGGCGUAAAGGGCGCGUAGGCGGCCCGCUAAGUCGAACGUGAAAUCCCCGGGCUCAACCCGGGAACUGCGUCCGAUACUGGCGGGCUUGAAUCCGGGAGAGGGAUGCGGAAUUCCAGGUGUAGCGGUGAAAUGCGUAGAUAUCCGGAAGAACACCGGUGGCGAAGGCGGCCUGCUGGGCAGUUUAGCUGACACUGAGGCGCGACAGCGUGGGGAGCAAACAGG